rnacentral:rRNA from 1 species
GUGGGUAACCUGCCUUACAGUGGGGGAUAGCCUUUCGAAAGGAAGAUUAAUACCGCAUAAGAUUGUAGUAUCGCAUGAUAUAGCAAUUAAAGGAGCAAUUCGCUAUAAGAUGGACCCGCGUCGCAUUAGCUAGUUGGUGAGGUAAUGGCUCACCAAGGCGACGAUGCGUAGCCGACCUGAGAGGGUGAUCGGCCACAUUGGGACUGAGACACGGCCCAGACUCCUACGGGAGGCAGCAUG